rnacentral:lncRNA from 1 species
UCAAUGUAGUCAGGUUCUCGCACCGGGUCUUAGGUUCUUACGAUCCUACGAGCUCGUGAAGGCCAAACGAGCUUAGAACCCAUGUAGGUUCCUUUUUUGACCUGUCUGUAGUCAGGUUCUCGCACCGGGUCAUAGGUUCUUACGAUCCUAGAGGUUUUUUGACCUGAGCUCUAGACGGCGCCGUCGUGAACCUCGCCGGCGGUUAGUGUAUGUUUGUUCUCACUCCUUUCUAACUUUCGUUCACUCCUCUCUCACUUUCAACCAUCCCUUUCACUCAAACCUCUGUCCUCACCGAAACCUUCUGAACUCAUCUCUUUCACUUUCAAGUUUCAACCCUCUGUUUUCAUUUUGUUUUUUUUAACCUUGUUGUUGCUUCUUCUAACCCUCAGUUAUGAACUUAUGAACAUUUGGAAUGAUGUCUAAGAAAUAUUAAUUAAUUAAGUUUAUUUUGUUCAUGUAUUAUAUUUUUUUGUGUUUAUGUGUAUAUGUAUGUAUGUGAAGUUACAAUUUUACCCUUGAGUAGGAUCUUACGAAUCGAGCUACGAUCCCGAUCUUACGAUUCUCAACCAGCCUACCGAUCCUACGUAGGAUCUCGAACCUGACUACAUUGGUCAGACUAGUAGACAAUCAUUAUGAAACUGUUAUGCACAGAGCACUUCAGCUCUAGUGGCCAACUAGACCAACAUAAAGCCAUUAACUAAUAGAUAUUUAAAUAUCCAAAAACAAUAGGUGUUGUUAGAGUAUCUUAAUUUAUCUCAGAGGAUUAGUUUCAUAUCUUAGAGUUUCUCUUAAGAGUAGUUUUUAAAUUACUCAAUUAUUGUCAUAAUUUCACCCCUAUACAAUUAGGUUUAGUAGUCUUCUAUCCCUAUAAAUAUGGGUUGGUGACUUGGUGGUUAAUUUUUUUGUAUCAUGUUAUAAUCAAUCAUUAAUCAAAAUCAUAUUUUAGUCUUUCUUCUUUCUCUCCUUUCUUUAUCUAAAACCCAUAACUCAACAUAAUAUUCGGUGGCAUGUUCUAUCGUUAUCCUACUGUCGAGUUCCCGAAAGUUUUGGACUGCAUCAUUGUUAUCUCUUCUUGGUUUCAAGCAGUUUUCUUUUGGGCUUCAGCAGCCAUUAAGUUCUGUCCCGCAGUCCACAGUUUCUGGUAACCAGAAGUACUGUCGUCUGAUUAAGCGUUGUUUGUCACUGCCACCACAAGUGCCACCUUUCACCUAAGAUGACACUAACCUGUAGUUCAACCAAGCACCACCACGGGAACCACUCUCAUGCACCAAAACUCAUUUCUGCAGUUGUCAGUGCAUGGGUAUCAACUAUCAAGUGCUGCCUUUUCUGCCAGUGUCUAUUGGCACCUGCUGGUUUGGUCUUUCCUCUGUUUGGUUUUUGGGUACACCGUUUUUCUAACCUUCUUAGAGACUGGUAGGCUGCAAUUUGACUGUGCUCAUUUCUAUAUGUGAACCAAUCUCAGCAUCUGUUCUGAACAGAUUCCUUAUGUUCGUAGGUUUAUGUUUGUCUCCCUCAUAGUUGUUUCUGUUGUGGUGUUAGUUUGUGUUCUUCGUGAUUCCUCCACUGUGAGGUUGGUUGUUCUGAUCACAGUUUUGGCUCAUGACAGACAUUAUUUUUCCUCUCCAACUCGCAUGAUGCCACACCAUACCUCACCUUAGGCUGCUACUGUUUUACCCAGAUUGCCUGUCUCGUCUACUCGCAUCUUCCCUCGUUUGCUGAUAUUGUGACUCAGGAACAACUCUUUUUUGUUGCAGUAAUGUUACGUUUAAUGGGGGAUUUUCCUAUGAAGAUGUAACACAGGCCUUCUUUACUUAUGCUGACUCGUUUUUGUGCUGUGCAUAUGUUCUGCGUGUUUUUCUGCACUUUCCUGUGUGCUUAGUUUCUAUGUUGCUGUUCUGUGUGUCAGCAUUGUUGUUUUUGUGUUUCUGGGGGCUACACAUCAAGCCAUCCUUUUGUUGCCGGAUUGGCCUCAUUUAACUUGUUGGUUGACCCAUUGGUUUGUUAGGGACCCCCAUCUAGAUUGUGGUUCCNNNNNNNNNNNNNNNNNNNNNNNNNNNNNNNNNNNNNNNNNNNNNNNNNNNNNNNNNNUUCAUUGGCAUCUUCUUUGCCUCCGUUCAUUCACACACCCUUGUGUAAGAAUAUAUGAAAUAUCUUAUAUUGAAUAUAUGAUAGUUAUUUAGUUUGUCUCAGAGGAUUAGUUUUCCUAUUACUUUUUUUCUCUCCUUUUGUUAUCUAAAACCCAUGAGUUCAACAGGUGUUUCAUGAGGCAUGCAUGAUAAUAAUACCUUACGGUAAGGAAAAUGGAAUUCAUAAAAUCAUUGGCCAAAACAGAACUCACAUGUUCAAGUCUUAAGGUACCACAUAAGCACGCUACAGCCCAUAUAGAUAACGCAGUUGCCUCCUCUGCAACCAGAAGAGAGUUUUGUGCCUGAGAUGAACAGAAAAAAUGAAGUAAUUGGUUUACCAUGACAAUCAAACAUGACAGUCUAGAAGACUAAAAUUAGAAUCGAAGUAAUUUAAUCCAAUACAAAUACCUCAACUAAUUCCAGACCCGUAUUACAGGAUUUCAAAUCAACAGCCGAACCAGAGAGAUAAAGAGCAUUAUCAUCUAGCCUGUGAUAUUCCAAGGGAUGAAGGUGCUCCAGAGGAUGAAAGAUAAGUGUUGAUCCCCUUGUAGGGCAACUAAACCGAUAAUACUCGCUAAUAAUUUGUAAUGGUCCACAAUUAUUUGCCUGAGUCAGUAACAUAAUAUCAGCAAUAAUAUUAUUGGCAAUAAAUUAUCACAACGAAUCACCAGACAAUAACAACACUAAGUGUAUAUAAAAUUACACAAACCUUGGCCCAUUCAAGAAUCUCAUGUAGGUCAGUUAUAUCCUCUUGUCCCGAGAUUGAAGCAUCUUCUGUCUCAGUAUCAUCAGCAUCACUCCUAAAAUUUCUAUCUUCACAAGGUGAUCCUUGAAAACUGCACAAAUCAUACCAUAUGUUUGAAAUGCAUCAUUACUAAGAAAUGGAUGAUAUUCACUUCUAAGAUUUCUAUGUUUACAAUGUGAAAUUUGGAACCUACAUAAAGCAGACUAUAUGUUUUAUAUGAACCGCUUAGAAGAAAGUAAGUGAUUUUCUAAAGAGAAAACAACCACCCCCACCCCAAGAAAAGAGAAACUACAGUUGAGCUGAUACAAAUCAGAGACUCCAAGAUAGUUGCUAUGACGCAUUGAUGUCUGCAUUAUACCACAUCAACUCAUUACAUGUGGCAUGUAUGAGAAUGCACCACGGAGCAUAAGUAACAGAGAGUGAAAAAUAAUACUACUCUAUGCCUCCCACUUGCAUAUAACAAAAUCCUUUAACAUAUGAUCUGUCAAAUGAAAUCAUAAACAAAGAAAAUUCUUUGAACCUAUGCAGGAAGUUCAUCAAACAACACAUAGUACAACUACAGAUUAAUGUAUAAAACUAGUUUUUAUUUUUCGUACUUUCGGAUCUGAUUACAAAAGAAAAAGAUCAUGAGAUUGGUAAUGGCACAGUAAGCACCAUUAUUUCAUGUGGAGGUCAAAUAGAUACUAACAAGAUGCACUGGACAAUCACAAUGUCAUGUACCUGCAUGAAGACUCAGAGCUUUCAUAUUGCCAAUUCCGCAGGACAGGGAAGAUAGAAGUUGGUACGCGCCUAUCUUCUGACGGUUUGUUUGUUACCAAAGCAUCGCCAUACAUAUUACUGUCUUCAGCAACUGUAGGGCCAGAUUCUUGUUUGGCGAUUUUUCUAUCAGUUUCAGGAUGAAUAGGCACAAUAUCAUCAUCAUCUGCUCCCUCCUUAAGUGUAUGUAGCUCCUCAUUGACCAUUUGUUUCUCUAGAUGAUUACUAUCACCCUCAAUGUUAUUAGAUACAGAAUUUCUUAGGUUUGAUUGAGAAAUUCUUGAAUUCUCGUCAAGUUUGUCUUCCUCAUAACUCCCUUCAACAGAUUCUAAAUUUAAAAAUUCAACGCUUUUUGACAACCGCUCUAGCCUUUCUUGCAUGAAGAUGCUACAGAGAUAUCAACACAACAAGAUAAGCAAAUGCCAUAAAAUCAUAGCAUGCACUGAUGUGCUAGAAGGCAAACGAUUCUGAAUAUAAAAAACUAACAAUACAAUAUGCACAUAUGUUUGGAUGAUAGAUAUAUCAGUCAAAUACCCAGUCAACAAAACAGCAUGACAUCGUGUAGGUUACUAAAAAACAAAACAACAAUUAUAACAAACAAGCAUUAUACCACAAUUUCGAAUUGCAACAUAGAUGAAUCAGUUCCAUAGGGCUCUAUCAAAAAUCAUGUUUUCAGUAAAACCACUUAGAGCAAUGUCUUUUUUAGUGGCUUUCUCUAAUGUUUUGUAAGUCUUGCUCAGUCUUUUUUAUAACGCCAGAAUUUAAGAGGUGAAAAAUAUUUCACUUUAUGUUCCAUUACAUAAUGGGAGUCUUGAUUCAAUAAUUUGGAGUUCCUGUCAUGAAACUAGAAGGUCAAAGAUUUGAGUCAUGACUCAUUAUAUCACCUUCCUACAAAUACAAGGCCGUGCUUGCCUGCAUUAGACCCAAAAUUAAGUUUACUCCGUUUUGCAAAAAAUGUGAAAUUUAUGUCACAACAAAUUACACCUUAGCUCCAAGGAAGCUUGCGCCACAUUCAAAUUAUUAUGUGCAUUCUCUUCUCACAUAACCAAAUUUAUAUCACAACAAACUAAAUCUCAGCUUCGAGUAAACUUGUACUUCGAGUAAACUUGUACUAUUUAAAGUUACUUUACAGUUCAUAUAUCAUUUGAAUCAAGUAUCAACUAAACUUUGGAUGUCCCCACCUUUUAAGUUGUCUUAAAAUUUGGGCCCCUCUANNNNNNNNNNNNNNNNNNNNNNNNNNNNNNNNNNNNNNNNNNNNNNNNNNNNNNNNNNCUUCCACUAUUCAUAUCAUACUAACACCCAAAAUUGGACGUCUGAAGCGCUGCCGAGGUGGUGCAUGACUCAGGAGGCCCAGUAAGGGGUUGGCCCAACGGAUCUAAGAUAGACAUAUGAUACCAUAAUAAAAUUUUAGAUAGACCUAACAAAACCAAUAAAAUCGGCUUGAAAGGUGGGGACAGCCACCAUUUAUAACCAUUAUUCCCGUUCCGGCUAUAUCAAUAUCCAGUGCUCAACAGAUUGUGUUUUCAGCCCAUAUGAGUUUCAUGUCUUUUAAACACUGCUAAUUAUAUUAUAUGUUUUUCCCAACACCCAAAUCUAGAUUUUAAGGUUUAGGGAUUUACGAGACGUAGAUAUCAUUUUAUUGGUCACCCUUUGAAACUGAAAAAUGUUCAUAUAUAAGUAUACGUAAGCAACCACAUUAAUACGUCAAUUUCACAAAACAUACAAAAUACUUGCAUGUAUAGUUUUCAGAAAGCACCAAAGAUAAAUCACGUAAAACCCAACCAAAUCAGAAGUGUUUACAGGACACGUUUUCUGCUUUGGAGCAUACAUGACAAUGAGAUUAAGACUGCAAAUAUCCCAAAAUACAAUACAACAAAUGACAAUGAGAUUGCAAAUAUUUUCAACAUAUCACCCCUCAUAUUGGGAAGGAACUCAGCAUUAUUAUAAAAUACCUGUUCAAUACACCAAAGUGCAACUCAAAAAAUGGAAGCCUUGAGAGAAUGCAGUAACAUCUUUGUGUGGUUAAUACAUGGCGUCUCAAAGAAGAGUUAGAUAACCGCUUAUCCGAAACCAUAGAAAUCAAUCCAGAGGGUUUAUGCACUAUCUCCUCAACUAAGACACAACACCCAUAAAGUGUUGAAUUAUCAGCACCCUAUGGCAUAAAAGAAUACAAAGAUUUAAUAUAAUCAGUACAAGAAUGAGUACAGCAUGAAAAAUAAAAACAAAUAAAGGACACUUAUAAGUAAGAGCCAAUCAAUUAAAAUUUUCAAGGUGGGGAUAUCAAUUAAACAGAUGAGCGAUGAGCAUUGAAUGGGUAACUCAUGAACUACUCUGAACAUUGUUAAACAAUUAAGACCUAAACAGUUUUUUACCAUUAGCCCCUUUUCAGAUAUUCUCUAAAAUAACAUUUGUCAAGAAUAAUUUAAAAGAUCCAUUGAGCAGAAAAUAUUAAAAACAAAGAUGAAUUGUAUUUUCCCAUUUAUCCCUAAUAUAGUUCCGUAACAUUAUGAAAAAGAUUGCUUGUGAGUUCAUGUGAUCCAAUGUUCAUACUUAAAAUGUGUUUUUUUUAGGAGAGAGAGAGAGAGAGAGAGCAAAAUCCCAGAGUAAUAUAGUCAUCAAAGCACUUGGAAUAAACAGCCAAAAGAAGACAAAGUAAGAAAGUAGAAACAAAGUAACAAUUAGAUAUUUUCAAUUACCUGUAACCUAAAUACAAAAGACAGAUCCCUUUGUUUAAGGUGUUCCUGCAAAGAUCAAUAUACAAACAUGACAAUUGGUAUCAUUAUCAGUGGUUAAAAACUUACGAUAUCCCUCCAACUUAAUCAAAUAAAUCAGCAUUAAUGCUUGCAAAAAUAUGAAAUUUCGAUAAAAAAUCUCACAUAAUAUAUGACCAAAAAAAGUGAUAACAAGCCAGUUGCAGCAACACAAACAAUUACAAAGCAUUUAGCAAUGCAAGUUUUACUAAAGGAAGCAUAAGUUUACAAUUCUACUAUACUAUGUCUUAAUAUAAUAAGCACAAUGCAUAAUAUAUAUGGAAGCAUCGUAUUGCAUAAGUACCUGCCCGAAAUGAAUUUCGUUCAAUUCACUCAUCGAAGGGGUUUUCUCAACAGCAUUAACCUGAAAUCACAUCCAGGAAAAGGAAAAACCUAUGUAUAAACUUCACAUAAGUUAUUCACGUGAAAAUAAAUAAAUCUAAAGACAAACAUGUACAUAUAUCUACAGAUGACACUAGAAAUAUAAAUUAUGAUCAUGAUGAUGCAUUAGGAUACAUUUAUACUAAUAGACAGUUGGUACCAAAUGUAAGUAAAUGAGUGUUAUUUUUUACAAAAGUGAUGUUCUUAGUUUUUUAGGCCUUCAUGAAAGUAAAGCCUUACACCCUCUACGCUAUCCCCACCCCAUGGUCCAUGGCCUUCACCUCUUAAGCUAUAACAAGAACGAAGGCACAAAAUAUAUUCUCUGCUUUCAAAAUAAUGAUAGCAAUAAAUUCAAACUCCUUUAAAACAAAAGAAAGUACAACAGAAGAUAGACAGAAACUAUAAAAUUUGAAAAACUUCAUAAUCUAAAAGAAGUAAAAAAGAUAUAUAAAACUUUGUCUUUUUCCCCAUAGAGGUAAUCUGCCAGAACUUUCUCUUUUUUUCUUUUUUUCUUUUGCUGAAACAAUUUCCCAAUGCUAGAGGUAAUCAGGGUUGAUCUUACUCUUCUGAAUAUAGUGUAUAAAUGAUGAUGGCAAUACUAAUGGUGUAAAAAGGAUAGGAAUAUGAGUAGAC